AUUGAACGCUGGCGGCAGGCCUAACACAUGCAAGUCGAGCGGAUGAAGGGAGCUUGCUCCUGGAUUCAGCGGCGGACGGGUGAGUAAUGCCUAGGAAUCUGCCUGGUAGUGGGGGAUAACGUCCGGAAACGGGCGCUAAUACCGCAUACGUCCUGAGGGAGAAAGUGGGGGAUCUUCGGACCUCACGCUAUCAGAUGAGCCUAGGUCGGAUUAGCUAGUUGGUGGGGUAAAGGCCUACCAAGGCGACGAUCCGUAACUGGUCUGAGAGGAUGAUCAGUCAAACUGGAACUGAGACACGGUCCAGACUCCUACGGGAGGCAGCAGUGGGGAAUAUUGGACAGUGGGCGAAAGCCUGAUCCAGCCAUGCCGCGUGUGUGAAGAAGGUCUUCGGAUUGUAAAGCACUUUAAGUUGGGAGGAAGGGCAGUAAGUUAAUACCUUGCUGUUUUGACGUUACCAACAGAAUAAGCACCGGCUAACUGCGU
rnacentral:rRNA from 1 species